UCCUUGAGUGGUUCUGCCAAAGCCCAGAAUGUGAAAGUCCUUGAGUGGUUCUGCCAAAGCCCAGAAUGUGAAAGUCCUUGAGUGGUUCUGCCAAAGCCCAGAAUGUGAAAGUCCUUGAGUGGUUCUGCCAAAGCCCAGAAUGUGAAAGUCCUUGAGUGGUUCUGCCAAAGCCCAGAAUGUGAAAGUCCUUGAGUGGUUCUGCCAAAGCCCAGAAUGUGAAAGUCCUUGAGUGGUUCUGCCAAAGCCCAGAAUGUGAAAGUCCUUGAGUGGUUCUGCCAAAGCCCAGAAUGUGAAAGUCCUUGAGUGGUUCUGCCAAAGCCCAGAUUUGAAUCCCAUCGAAACAUUUCUAAAACAAUGUUUUCACUUUGUUAUUUAUUCGGGUAUUGUAUGUAGAUGGGUGAGAUUUAAAAAUAAAUAUAUAUAUAUAUAUAUUUUAAAUUCAGGUUGUAACACAGCAAACUGUGGCUUUAAGUCCAGGGGUAAGAAUACUUUCUGAAAGCUCUGUAUACAUUGUGAAAGACCUCUUGAUUGGCUCCACAUUUAUUCGGGUUACAGCCUGACUCUAAAAUGGAUUAAAUUGUUUUUGUCCCCUCAACAAUCGACACACAAUACCCGAUAAUGACAAAGCAAAGAAACAGGUUUUCAGAAAUGUUUGCCCAUUUUUAUUACAGAAGCUGAAAUGACAUUUACAUAAGUAUUCAGACCCUUUACUCAGUACUUUGUUGAAGCACCUUUUGGCAGUUAUUUCAUAGUUUUGAUAUCUUCACUAUUAUUCCACAAUGUAGAAAAUAGUAACAAAUAUUGAAAAACCUUGGAAUGAGUAGGCGUGUCCAAAUUUUUGACUGGUACUGUAUAUUUAAAACCAAAUACUUAUAUACUUUUACUCAAGCAAGUAGUAUUUUACUGAGUGACUUAAACUUUUACUUGAGUCAUUUUCUGUUCAUGUAUAUUUUCUUUUACUUAAGUAUGACAAUUGAGCACUUUUUCCACCACUGUUCUUUGCUCUGUUCAUCUUUCCCUCGAUCCUGACUAGUCUCCCAGUCCCUGCUGCUAAAAAAACAUCCCCACAACAUGAUGCUGCCACCACCAUGCUUCACCGUAGGGAUGGUGCCAGGUUUCCUCCAGAAGUGAUGCUUGGAAUUCAGGUCAAAUAGUUACAUCUUGGUUUCAUCAGACCAGAGAAUCCUCUUUCUCAUGGGCUGUCCUUUUGGUGCCUUUUGGCAAACUCCAAGCGGGCUGUCGUGUCUUUUACUGAAGAGUGGCUUCCGCCUGACCACUAGCAUAAAUGCCAUAUUUGGUGGAGUGCUGCAGAGAGGGUUGUCCUUCUGGAAGGUUCUCCCAUCUCCACAGAGGAACUCUGGAGCUCUGUCAGAGUGACCAUUGGGUUCUUGGUCACCUCCCUGACCAAGACCCUUCUCCCCCAAUUGCUCAGUUUGUCCGGGCGGCCAGCUCUAGGAAGAGUAUUGGUGGUUCCAAACUUCUUCCAUUUAAGAAUGAUGGAGGCCACUGUGUUCUUGGGGACAUUUCAAUGCCUCAAAAACUAUUUAGGUACCCUUCUCCAGAUCUGUGCCUCGACACAAUCCUGUCUCAGAGCUCUACAGACAAUUCCUUCGACCUCAUGACUUGUUUUUUUUUGUUGCUCUGACAGGCACUGUCAACUGUGGUACCUUUUAUAUAGACAGGCGUGUGCCUUUCCAAAUCAUGUCCAAUCAAUUGAAUUUACCACAGGUGGACUCCAAUCACGUUGUAGAAACAUCUCAAAGAUGUUCAAUGGAAACAGGAUGCACCUCAAUUUCGAGUCUCAUAGCAAAUGUUCUAAUUACUUUUAUGUAAGUAAGGUAUUUCUGUUUUUAUCUAAAUUUGCUGAAGAAAUCUGCAAACCUGUUUUUGCUUUGUCAUUAUGGGGUAUUGUGUGUAGAUUGAGGGGGGUGACCUAAUCCAUUUUAGAAUAAGGCUGUAACAUAAUGUGGAAAUGGUCAAGAGGUCUGAAUACUUUCCGAAUGCACUGUAUAGCCCCUCCCUAGGUAUCAGUCAGAGCUAUCUCUCCUCUCUUCUCCCUGGGUAUCAGUCAGAGCUAUCUCUCCUCUCUUCUCCCUAGGUAUCAGUCAGAGCUAUCUCUCCUCUCUUCUCCCUAGGUAUCAGUCAGAGCUAUCUCUCCUCUCUUCUCCCUAGGUAUCAGUCAGAGCUAUCACUCCUCUCUUCUCCCUAGGUAUCAGUCAGAGCUAUCACUCCUCUCUUCUCCCUAGGUAUCAGUCAGAGCUAUCACUCCUCUCUUCUCCCUAGGUAUCAGUCAGAGCUAUCACUCCUCUCUUCUCCCUAGGUAUCAGUCAGAGCUAUCACUCCUCUCUUCUCCCUAGGUAUCAGUCAGAGCUAUCACUCCUCUCUUCUCCCUAGGUAUCAGUCAGAGCUAUCACUCCUCUCUUCUCCCUAGGUAUCAGUCAGAGCUAUCACUCCUCUCUUCUCCCUAGGUAUCAGUCAGAGCUAUCUCUCCUCUCUUCUCCCUAGGUAUCAGUCAGAGCUAUCACUCCUCUCUUCUC